rnacentral:rRNA from 1 species
GACGAACGCUGGCGGCGUGCCUAACACAUGCAAGUCGAGCGAGUGAAUCUCCUUCGGGAGUGAAGCUAGCGGCGGACGGGUGAGUAACACGUGGGCAACCUGCCUCAUAGAGGGGAAUAGCCUUUCGAAAGGAAGAUUAAUACCGCAUAAGAUUGUAGCUUCGCAUGAAGUAGCAAUUAAAGGAGCAAUCCGCUAUGAGAUGGGCCCGCGGCGCAUUAGCUAGUUGGUGAGGUAACGGCUCACCAAGGCGACGAUGCGUAGCCGACCUGAGAGGGUGAUCGGCCACAUGGGGACUGAGACACGGCCCAGACUCCUACGGGAGGCAGCAGUGGGGAAUAUUGCACAAUGGGGGAAACCCUGAUGCAGCAACGCCGCGUGAGUGAUGACGGCCUUCGGGUUGUAAAGCUCUGUCUUCAGGGACGAUAAUGACGGUACCUGAGGAGGAAGCCACGGCUAACUACGUGCCAGCAGCCGCGGUAA